AUUCCCUUAGUAACGGCGAGUGAAGCGGGAACAGCUCAAAUUUGAAAUCUCCCCGGAGAAUUGUAGUUUAGAGAAGCGUUUUCGGAGGUGACCUGUGGUACAAGUCCUUUGGAACAAGGCAUCAUAGAGGGUGAAAGUCCCGUCUUUGACCAUGGGCUCGCUUCCAUACGAUACGCUUUCCAAGAGUCGGUUUGUUUGGGAAUGCAGACCAAAAUGGGUGGUAAAUACCAUCUAAAGCUAAAUAUUGGCGAGAGACCGAUAGCGAACAAGUACCGUGAGGGAAAGAUGAAAAGAACUUUGAAAAGAGAGUUAAAUAGUACGUGAAAUUGUCAAAAGGGAAACGUUUGAAACCAGUAUUGUGUGUAUGGUUUAGCUGUGGUUUACUGCAGUGUCCUUCCAUGCACCAGGUCAACAUCAGUUUGGGCUUGGGGAAAAAACUGGGGAAAUGUAGCCCUCCGGGGUGUUAUAGUCCCUAGCAAUGCCCAGGCCUAGACUGAGGACUGCAGCUUCGGCUAAGGAUGUUGACGAAAUGGUUUUAAGCGACCCGUCUUGAAACACGGACCAAGGAGUCUAACAUGUAUGCGAGUAUUUGGGUGGAAAACCCUCAUGCGUAAUGAAAGUAAAAGGGUGGGAUCUCCGGAGCACCAUCGACCGCGCUGGGUUAUUACUACCUUGGCGUGAGUAAGAGCAUACAUGCUAGGACCCGAAAGAUGGUGAACUAUGCCUGAAUAGGGUGAAGCCAGAGGAAACUCUGGUGGAGGCUCGUAGCGGUUCUGACGUGCAAAUCGAUCGUCAAAUUUGGGUAUAGGGGCGAAAGACUAAUCGA
rnacentral:rRNA from 1 species